CAAAGCACAGUGAACCCUGUGGUGGAUGAUGGACUGUGGUUUCUUAUUUUGUUUCUGUUUUUGACAAGCAGAUAAAGGCUUGUUCUAUUGAAUGAUUGGUCUGUAUAGUUGCUGAGCCACUGUGUACAGAUGGGAGAGGGGAGCUUUCUUUCUUGGUCUGUUCCUCCUCAUAGGCUUGGUAGUCUUGUUGGCCCGUAGCCGCUCCUCACGGCGCUUGUGCACCUCCUUGGUCUUGGACCUGUGGCUUCCUGCUGGUCAGCCAGGAAUUUCUUGUGGGCCUUGUCUGCUGCAGCCUGUGGAUGUGUCCCAUGGGAAUCUGCUUGUUCUUGAACACCUUCCCUUUUACCUUCAGCAGGGGACACUGGAGGCAAGCCUCUUCGGAAGCCUGAGCAGACUUAUGGCGGUGGCAGCAGCACCGAAAGGAAAGAACAUUUUUUAAAAUAAGGAAAUGAAAUAAAAUUUUAAAAAUAGCCAAUAUAAUACAAAAAAAAUUGAAACAAUUUGAAAUAAUAAAAACUUUUAUAUGCUGUUGUCUUUCAUCACUGUAAGAUCUUGUCUUGUAUGUACAGUGAUAUUUUCUUCAAUAUAUUCCCCCAGUGUCUUAUUUUAUUCGUUUAUUUUCGAAGAAGCUUUAGGAUACAGAAAAUUCACAUAGAGAAUAGAGGUGAUUCCCAUAUGCCCCUCUCCUUAUUAAUAAUAUCUUACGUGUGAAUGAUUCAUUUGUUACAGUUAAUGUACAAAUAUUGAUGCAUUGCUUCUCACCAUAGUCAAUGGUUUACAUUAUGGUUUACAUUUUGAAUCAUACUCUUUUAUAGGUUUUGACAAAAUUUGAAGUAGCCUGUAUCUGUUAUUGCAAGAUCAUGCUGAAUAAUUCUAAUGCCUUAAAAAUGCCCUGCGUUCCAUUCUAUUCUUCCCUUUCUCUCCCUUCGGAAGCUAUGGGAAUUACUGUUUCAAUAUAAGAUUCAUAGUUACUUGCAGUAAUAUUGCGGACUUGAUAUAUU
rnacentral:lncRNA from 1 species